ACGUUGCCCACUGCCACCACCACAGGCACCACCGUUGUCACCGCUGCCAUCCCAGGAUGACUAUCACCACCGCCAUCACCACCACCAUCAGCAACUUCGUCAUUGUCACCACAGUGUAAGAGCCACCAGCAGCGCAGACCUGAGUCAACCCCGUAGACCAGUUCUAACUCAGCUCUCCCCAGGGGCCAUCAAGACAGUGGAGGUGACAAUGUGGAAGCAGCAGCAAGUGCCAAUUUAAAGUCACACUAUACCACCUGAACUCAGUGAGGCGGGACCAGUCUGGAUGGUGCUCAGGAGGCCUCUACCAAGGAAACCCAUCAGAGCCAUAAAUACAUCUUUGUUGGACUGUACCGAUGGCUGGCACCAGAAUGAGAGUUUAAAAUAAAUUUUUCCGUGUACUGACUGGGGUCAUGUUCACCAACCAUAUUUAACAUCUUUCUGGGAAUGGCUAUCCAGUGAGAAGUCAGAUUCGAAACUUUGAAACGGUUUAUGAUGGAUACUUUUUACAGCGUAAUCUUUGAGAGAAAGCCCUGAGACAAGCAGGUAAGGCUAUCACUGUCAUUUUACAGAUGAGGAAACUGAAGCACUGAAAAGUUAAGUAAUUUGCUUGAGGUCACACUCUAACAAAGGACAGAGCCAGGAAAGGAACUCAAGGUGGCUGCAGAGCCCAUAAUCUUCACUUCAGCACUCUGCUGCUCCCACACAAGUAAGGGUCAGUUCAGCUAGGCUAAAAGACACUCUUCUUUAACCCACUCAGAAAAUCCAACCACAAAUGAACAUCUUGAGGCUUGAGCAUGUGAGAGAAAAAGCAAUGGUUACAAUAGAGAAAAAAAAUAAAUAAAAGCUUCUCCCUCAAUUCACCACCCAAAUUACUAAACUGGAAGAAGGGGGGGGGAAAGCAAGAGAGAGGAAGAAAAAGGAGAAGAGCCUAUGACAGUGCUAUUGGACUAAACGCCAUUUCUACUCCCUUCUUGCAGUGAAAAUGACUUCAUGCUUGACAAAAACAUGAAAGUGGCAAAAUGCCCCUCAUAUAUGAUAGCAAUCCAUUUGUAGUUGGCUGGCAGAGUCAGAUCAAAGGCGUGAACACUUUGAGAGAGAAGAAUGAAUUAAAAGGAAAAAAGAAGGAAUGGCUAAAUGGAUGGUUUCCAGAGCAGCCCCUCCCCAUCCCCAAGACAAUUAUGGCCAUACGUGCAUCCCUGCAGGCUGCUCUGCUUUCAUCCAAGGGCCUCAAAGUUCUGUGAAUAACAGCAAUGUCUUCUCUACUUUCAGUGAAAUGUAUAAACUAUAUUUCAGAUGGGUAAGCAUCACUGCUAAGAUGGUAAGUAUUGACCAAUAUGAUACACAUCAGGGCUUGGAUAGCUCAGUUGGUAAAGAAUCCGCCUGCAAUGCAGGAGACCCUGGUUCGAUUCCUGGGUCAGGAAGAUCUGCUGGAGAAGGGAAAGGCUAGCCACUCCAGUAUUCUGGCCUAGAGAAUUCCAUGGACUGUAUAGUCUAUGGGGUCGCAAAGAAUUGGACACAACUGAGUGAAUUUCACUGUCACUUUUCACACACGUCAACUUUAAUGCCCAGUUACAGAGGCCCAUUUGGUGCUGAAAAUUCUUUAGAGAAAAGGAAAAGGGAUUCGGGUGAAUCUCAAAAAGUCACAGUACCUUUGGGAUACAGCUUGCAGUCUAAAGUGGAGACUAUUCCAAAAUCUGAGUGUGCAACCAACUCUAUUUCUACUCUGGUCUCCUCCAAUCCAAUUCCACUACCUAUUUAAAAUCCACCAAAGAUUACUGUUUUAAAUUUCAAGUUGAAAACCCUUGGCCUCCAAGUUCGUGCCUGAUCUAGACCUUCCUCCAUUGUCUCUCCCUUAGCUCAUGGAUCUCUGGGCUAAAACUCUAGUUAGGUCUGGGUGCCUUCCUUUCUAAUGCCUAUCCCCUGACCAGGGAAGCUCUGCAGUCCCUCUUGAUCUGGCUCUCUCCUAACUCAUCACUCUCUUUUCCCAAAGAAGUCUCUCCUGGAUACCCCAAGCCAGGUCAGAUACCUCAUUACAACUCUUAAUUCUGCAAUUCUCCUUCCUAGCACUUAGUGAAUUAUGCCAUUAUUCAUGGAAUUAUCAUUGUCUGUCUCCUCCACUUACUAGAAGUUCCAAGAAAACUGGGAUGGCAUUAUCCUCCCUUAUUGCCCCAUUACCAGGGCUUGGCACAGAGUUUGCUUGUAUUAGGUGUUGGGGGAAAAAAGAACACAUGCAUGCUUUAGGAGGUCACCUUCCUUUGAGGUUAUCAAGGCUCAGUUGCACUAAUUCAAUUCAAUUCGGUCGCUCAGUCACGUCCGACUCUUUGCAACCCCAUGAACCUCAGCACGCCAGGCCUCCCUGUCCAUCACCAACUCCCUAAAUGUCUGGCUUAAACUGUCAUGUAAUCUACUAAUGUAUUGCUACCUUUGUCAAGGGGGGACAGCAGUCAGGGGAGUGGCCAGAGCAUCUUACUGCAACAUUGACAGCAUGUAACAAACCAGGCGGCUCUCCUUGGCCACAGUGCUAAUCCAAAAGGUAUCAAGGCCAUGAAAUACUGGUAGGGUAUAAGUACCAUUAUUACAUGACUGCUCUAAUAUGCACUAUAAAAUACAGCAUAAGUUCACAAUGUUAUAUCAGGCUCUUUUCAAUACACUUAAACCUUCUAGGACAGUGUCUCCUGUGGGGGGAAAAAAUCUCACUUUGCCUUUUCUUAUCCCUUUCUGCAAUUUCAUUAUGUCCUACCUGCCUUAGAUUAUUAAGAUCAUCAUCAACAAUAACAG